GUUUUUCCCUUGUGCCUUAUACUCCAUGGUAAGGCUGUGGAUCAGAGGGGAUAGAAACGACAGUGGGUGACACUCAGUGUCAGUAACUGGGGCUUUUAUUUCAAGUCCAAAUCAGCAACAAAAAGAAGAUUGCAGGCAUGUGGAAUCUUAACUCACUAAACAAGGAUCAAACCUGCAUACCCUACAUUGGAGGGUAAACUCAAAAACUGGACCAUCAAGGAAGUCCCUAAACUAUAGCCUUUGGGCAAAGUAGCAGAAUAUAUGCCUGAGCCAUAUUCUCA
rnacentral:lncRNA from 1 species